CCUACGGGAGGCUGCAGUGAGGAAUAUUGGUCAAUGGGCGAAAGCCUGAACCAGCCAAGUAGCGUGCAGGAUGACGGCCCUACGGGUUGUAAACUUCUUUUAUCCGGGAAUAAAGAGCGUUACGUGUACCGCUUUGCAUGUACCGUGUGAAUAAGGAUCGGCUAAGUCCGUGCCAGCAGCCGCGGUAAUACGGAGGGUCCGGGCGUUAUCCGGAUUUAUUGGGUUUAAAGGGUGCGUAGGCCGCAUGUUAAGUGUGCUGUGAAAUUUCCGGGCUCAACCCGGGCAGUGCAGUUGAAACUGGCGUGCUUGAGUGCGCGGGAGGUAGGCGGAAUUCGUGGUGUAGCGGUGAAAUGCUUAGAUAUGACGAAGAACUCCGAUUGCGAAGGCAGCUUACUGGAGCGGAACUGACGCUGAGGCACGAAAGCGUGGGUAUCGAACAGGAUUAGAUACCCGUGUAGUC
rnacentral:rRNA from 1 species